rnacentral:lncRNA from 1 species
UCCAUGUAUUUUGAAAAUCUGAAAAUCCUCAAUGAUUCCUCUAAUUAAGGAAAUUAGUUACAACCAAUUAAUUUAAACAAAUAAAAUACGUAUCUUGAUUUUAAAAUUCGGCAGAUACAUGUAUCUCACAGAUUCAAACUCAUAUCUUGACUUUAAAAUUCGGCAGAUACAUGUAUCUCGCGGAUUCAAAUUCAUGUAUCUCAAACAUGAAAUAUGGUAGAGAAAGUAAUAUUUGAAACUAUCGGGAAUCUUAGUAAUUAGGACCUAAACUAGUGGAAUUUAUGUAGUUUGCCCUAAAUAUAAGGGAGAAGAAAAAUCAAAUUCGGGCUUUUGGCCCAAAUUCGUGAACCUGUCCUAAUACUAAAAAUACCCAAUCAUGGGUUUGGGCCUAUUUAAAUCCCAACUCUUCUGUUGGACUUUCUUUUGACCUCUUAUGCCCAUUUUCGCUGUUGGACCUGUUGACAAUUUUCUUGGGCCUAGUUCUUUUUUAAAGCCUUAAGAAAGUCAUAUACACUAAGUGUAUAUCAAUGUAUAUGGAAUGAUUUUUCAAUCCGAAUCUCCACAUUUGUUCAUGUGUAUUCAUCAUUAGACCUGUACGCCUAUAUUUUGCAUUUUUCAGCCCGUAAUUCCGAUUCUUUCUGCCCCGUAUAUCAUGUGUACAGUUGUUGUAUAGCAGUGUAUACUGCUGUAUACAGCAGGUAUACACCUCUUUUUUGAGCUUUUGGAGGCUUGCAUUAGCUUCCCUUUCACCCUCGAACACCAAAGGCUGACUCGAUACUCGAAAAUGCGGGGAUGGAGUCCGAAGUGGACUCGAAUUGAUGUCACAUGUGAAUCAAAUGACAAAAGAUUAACAUAAGUAAAGCCCAAAAUAAAUUGAAAAUAAGUUGAAACAAUAUGAUAUUCUAAAAUAACAAAUCAAAAAAGAAUGAUCUACAGAAGACAAAUCAAGAAAUAAAGACUAAAGAUAUCCUUAACACAAAGACUAGUGACAUGCCAGACAAUUGAAUCAGAUCUUUAAUGGCG